rnacentral:misc_RNA from 1 species
GAUGAAGAACGUAGCGAAAUGCGAUAAGUAAUGUGAAUUGCAGAAUUCAGUGAAUCAUCGAAUCUUUGAACGCACAUUGCGCCCGCCAGUAUUCUGGCGGGCAUGCCUGUUCGAGCGUCAUUUCAACCAUCAAGCCCCAGGCUUGUGUUGGGGACCUGCGGCUGCCGCAGGCCCUGAAAACCAGUGGCGGGCUCGCUGUCACACCGGGCGUAGUAGAUUUUAUCUCGCUCAGGGCGUGCUGCGGGUUCCGGCCGUUAAAAAGCCUUUUUUACCCAAGGUUGACCUCGGAUCAGGUAGGAAGACCCGCUGAACUUAAGCAUAUCAAUAAGUGGAGGA